CAAUGAGGUCUCAGUUGCUGCCGUUGGUUGACUCAGAUGGAGUUUGAUUUAAUGAUUUUGCUCCCUUUAACCUCUUUUUCGUUUCAUCUGUUUUUAAGUUUAGACCUUCUUUAUUAACUCGUUUCUUUAACUAGAUUAAUGUUAAUGUUCUUACACAAUGGAGAGGGAGGAUUGUUAUCCCAUUCCAUGGUCUUUGGUGGUUGUCACAUUUUCCUCAUUUAGAUCCUUUUUGAGGCCCUAGAUCACAUAUCUAAAACAGAAACAGACAAAUUCUAAAGGGAUAGUUU